rnacentral:tRNA from 1 species
GAGGGUGUAGCUCAGUGGUAGAGUGCAUGCCUAGCCUGUAAGAGGUCCUGGGUUCAAUCCCUAGUACCUCCA